rnacentral:lncRNA from 1 species
CAGAAAUCUCAGAGACCUGCAGAUAAGACCCAUCCACCCAGACAUCUGCUGUGGGGAGCGAUGAGCUUGGCCAUGCAGCACAAAGAGCUCAGUACUUUAUAACUGCUUUGUGAUUCAUCGUUUAGGAGCAUCCCCCUGCUCAGAGCUGAGUUGUCCCAGGAGAAGGCAGUAACAUCAGUGACGUGGUUCCCCAGCGGGAUGUUGGAUGUGCCAACCUGAAGGAUGACGCCUGGUUUCUAAGCUCCCAUCUGCUCUCCAUGGUGCGUAUCCAAUGUCUGCAGUUUCUUCUCACCUCUCUUACCAACAAGAAGAUGAAGCACAGAGCAAUAACAUGAUUUGUCCCUAAUUACAUACUGGCUAGUUUCUAAUCUAGGAGUAAACCCCAUAUCUCCUGUGUUCUAGGCAUUCGUGCCAGUAUAGGCUAAGCGUACACACCUGUGGUGGUGCACAG